rnacentral:rRNA from 1 species
UGGGGAAUAUUGGACAAUGGGCGAAAGCCUGAUCCAGCCAUGCCGCGUGUGUGAAGAAGGCCUUUUGGUUGUAAAGCACUUUAAGUGGGGAGGAAAAGCUUAUGGUUAAUACCCAUAAGCCCUGACGUUACCCACAGAAUAAGCACCGGCUAACUCUGUGCCAGCAGCCGCGGUAAUACAGAGGGUGCAAGCGUUAAUCGGAAUUACUGGGCGUAAAGCGCGCGUAGGUGGUUAUUUAAGUCAGAUGUGAAAGCCCCGGGCUUAACCUGGGAACUGCAUCUGAUACUGGAUAACUAGAGUAGGUGAGAGGGGAGUAGAAUUCCAGGUGUAGCGGUGAAAUGCGUAGAGAUGUGGAGGAAUACCGAUGGCGAAGGCAGCUCCCUGGCAUCAUACUGACACUGAGGUGCGAAAGCGUGGGUAGCAAACAGGAUUAGAUACCCUGGUAGUCCACGCCGUAAACGAUGUCUACCAGUCGUUGGGUCUUUUAAAGACUUAGUGACGCAGUUAACGCAAUAAGUAGACCGCCUGGGGAGUACGGCCGCAAGGUUA